rnacentral:rRNA from 1 species
UUCCUACGGGACGCAGCAGUAAGGAAUAUUGGUCAAUGGGCGCAGGCCUGAACCAGCCAAGUCGCGUGAGGGAAGACUGCCCUAUGGGUUGUAAACCUCUUUUAUAAGGGAAGAAUAAUGACUACGUGUAGUCAGAUGCCCGUACCUUAUGAAUAAGCAUCGGCUAACUCCGUGCCAGCAGCCGCGGUAAUACGGAGGGCGCGAGCGUUAAUCGGAAUUACUGGGCGUAAAGCGCGCGUAGGCUGUUGUGUAAGUUGGGGGUGAAAUCCCACGGCUCAACCGUGGCA